UAGGGAAUCUUCGGCAAUGGGGGCAACCCUGACCGAGCAACGCCGCGUGAGUGAAGAAGGUUUUCGGAUCGUAAAGCUCUGUUGUAAGAGAAGAACGUGUGUGAGAGUGGAAAGUUCACACAGUGACGGUAACUUACCAGAAAGGGACGGCUAACUACGUGCCAGCAGCCGCGGCAAUACGUAGGUCCCGAGCGUUGUCCGGAUUUAUUGGGCGUAAAGCGAGCGCAGGCGGUUUAAUAAGUCUGAAGUUAAAGGCAGUGGCUUAACCAUUGUUCGCUUUGGAAACUGUUAAACUUGAGUGCAGAAGGGGAGAGUGGAAUUCCAUGUGUAGCGGUGAAAUGCGUAGAUAUAUGGAGGAACACCGGUGGCGAAAGCGGCUCUCUGGUCUGUAACUGACGCUGAGGCUCGAAAGCGUGGGGAGCAAACAGG
rnacentral:rRNA from 1 species